UACGUAGGGUCCGAGCGUUGUCCGGAUUUAUUGGGCGUAAAGAGCUCGUAGGCGGCUAUUCACGUCGGAUGUGAAAGCUCAAGGCUCAACCUUGAGAGGCCAUUCGAUACGGGAUAGCUAGAGGUAGGCAGGGGAGAGCGGAACUCCUGGUGUAGCGGUGGAAUGCGCAGAUAUCAGGAAGAACACCGGUGGCGAAGGCGGGUCUCUGGGCCGAUGACUGACGCUGAGGAGCGAAAGCGUGGGGAGCGAACAGG
rnacentral:rRNA from 1 species